CUACAGGCUUAACACAUGCAAGUCGAGGCGCUAGCAUGGUCUUAGCUUGCUAAGGCCGAUGGCGACCGGCGCACGGGUGAGUAACACGUAUCCAACCUGCCGUCUACUCUUGGACAGCCUUCUGAAAGGAAGAUUAAUACAAGAUGGCAUCAUGAGUCCGCAUGUUCACAUGAUUAAAGGUAUUCCGGUAGACGAUGGGGAUGCGUUCCAUUAGAUAGUAGGCGGGGUAACGGCCCACCUAGUCUUCGAUGGGUAGGGGUUCUGAGAGGAAGGUUCCCCACAUUGGAACUGAGACACGGUCCAAACUCCUACGGGAGGCAGCAGUGAGGAAUAUUGGUCAAUGGGCGAGAGCCUGAACCAGCCAAGUAGCGUGAAGGAUGACUGCCCUAUGGGUUGUAAACUUCUUUUAUAAAGGAAUAAAGUCGGGUAUGGAUACCCGUUUGCAUGUACUUUAUGAAUAAGGAUCGGCUAACUCCGUGCCAGCAGCCGCGGUAAUACGGAGGAUCCGAGCGUUAUCCGGAUUUAUUGGGUUUAAAGGGAGCGUAGAUGGAUGUUUAAGUCAGUUGUGAAAGUUUGCGGCUCAACCGUAAAAUUGCAGUUGAUACUGGAUAUCUUGAGUGCAGUUGAGGCAGGCGGAAUUCGUGGUGUAGCGGUGAAAUGCUUAGAUAUCACGAAGAACUCCGAUUGCGAAGGCAGCCUGCUAAGCUGCAACUGACAUUGAGGCUCGAAAGUGUGGGUAUCAAACAGGAUUAGAUACCCUGGUAGUCCACACGGUAAACGAUGAAUACUCGCUGUUUGCGAUAUACAGCAAGCGGCCAAGCGAAAGCGUUAAGUAUUCCACCUGGGGAGUACGCCGGCAACGGUGAAACUCAAAGGAAUUGACGGGGGCCCGCACAAGCGGAGGAACAUGUGGUUUAAUUCGAUGAUACGCGAGGAACCUUACCCGGGCUUAAAUUGCAGAUGAAUUACGGUGAAAGCCGUAAGCCGCAAGGCAUCUGUGAAGGUGCUGCAUGGUUGUCGUCAGCUCGUGCCGUGAGGUGUCGGGUUAAGUGCCAUAACGAGCGCAACCCUUGUUGUCAGUUACUAACAGGUCAUGGUGAGGACUCUGACAAGACUGCCAUCGUAAGAUGUGAGGAAGGUGGGGAUGACGUCAAAUCAGCACGGCCCUUACGUCCGGGGCUACACACGCGUUACAAUGGGGGGUACAGAGGGCCGCUACCACGCGAGUGGAUGCCAAUCUCCAAAACCUCUCCCAGUUCGGACUGGAGUCUGCAACCCGACUCCACGAAGCUGGAUUCGCUAGUAAUCGCGCAUCAGCCACGGCGCGGUGAAUACGUUCCCGGGCCUUGUACACACCGCCCGUCAAGCCAUGGGAGCCGGGGGUACCUGAAGUGCGUAACCGCGAGGAGCGCCUUAGGGUAAAACUG
rnacentral:rRNA from 1 species